GAAGCAGCCACCAUUUAAAGAGUGCGUAAUAGCUCACUGGUCGAGUGACUCUGCGCCGAAAAUGUACCGGGGCUAAACGUAUCACCGAAGCUGCGGACUGUUCUUACGAACAGUGGUAGGAGAGCGUUCUAAGGGCUGUGAAGCGAGACCGGAAGGACUCGUGGAGCGCUUAGAAGUGAGAAUGCCGGUAUGAGUAGCGAAAGAGGGGUGAGAAUCCCCUCCACCGAAUGCCUAAGGUUUCCUGAGGAAGGCUCGUCCGCUCAGGGUUAGUCGGGACCUAAGCCGAGGCCGAAAGGCGUAGGCGAUGGACAACAGGUUGAUAUUCCUGUACCACCUCCUCACCAUUUGAGCAAUGGGGGGACGCAGGAGGAUAGGGUAAGCGCGGUAUUGGAUAUCCGCGUCCAAGCAGUUAGGCUGGGAAAUAGGCAAAUCCGUUUCCC
rnacentral:rRNA from 2 species